UAAUUCAAUUUUAUUUUCUCUCCCCUUUUUUAUUAUUUUUAUUUUUAGCUGAAAAGACGUAAAGGCAGUCAGCCCAGUGGUGUUUCUGGAGAGGGAUUCCUUCAGAAAUGGAGAAGACAGAAAGCUGCGGAGGCAGAUAUUUGCAGCAGUAAGUCUGUGAUAGUUUGUCUCUUUUAUCAAAAAUUCCUGCUGUUAUAAUUUGUACAGCAUUUGUUGUUUCUUAAACUGUUGCACUGUCCAAAUACCCACACUUGCCAUCUUUUCACUUGACCACUUGAUUACUUAUUUGAAGUCUUUCCUGCAUUUGGCCUAGUGUUCGAGUGAGCAUGAUGACCACGAGUGUGUGUCGAACUUUUCAUGACCUGAUGACUGUGUUUCCCAAUCCUGAUCCUGGAGAACCCCAGCACUGCACGGUUUUGGCGUCUCUCUUAUCUGACAAACACACUUUUGAGGUCUUGGAGUCUUCACUGAUGAGCUGAUGAGUUGAAUCAGGUGUGUUUGAUCAGGGAGACAUCUCAAAUGUGCAGUGUUGGGGUUCUCCAGGACCAGGAUUGGGAGCCACUGCCUUAUGGGACACUUAUGUGUUUAAAGAGAUUUUUAAUAUCUAAUUAUCAAUAUUUCACAUACUGUACUAAACACAUCACAGUCUUAAUAAUCCAGUUUAACACUUGUAUGAUAUUGUACAAGCCCCAGGACGGUCUCAUCUGACACUAUCAAAAUAAUUCAUAUGACUAUAGCUUGCUAUUAAUUACUUGCUUUCAAUAAUGGAUUCAUUUAACAUUUAAUUUUACAGCAUCUUUACAGAGGUGUAAUGUACAAGCUGCACGUAAUUAAUAAUAUGUCCUUCCUUCUGUCUUACAGGAUUUUUUCCAGAUAAUGCUGUUCUUCUUUUUCAGGUCUAAAAUAUCGAGCUCAACAGCUAUUUUAAGAGCCAACCCUCACAAACCUUCCUAAAACCUAAAAGAGCUAUUACUGAGUCUCAGCGAAUCUUGCCAUGAUCAGCUCUUCCCAGAAGAGAAGGAAGACCAAGGAAAUGAUUUGCUCAGGAUGAGGAAUGAAGAUGGCCAUCUUGUGCUCAAACAAACAGAAGUCCUCUGAUGAUCUCAUCAGCCAAAUGAGAGGUUUUGACCAAGUGAUGCUCUUGAAAGGAGUGGAUGUGGUAAAUUGUCUUCAGAGAAAAAGCUUCUCAAAAGGUCUCAAAACAGCUUGAAGAAUGGUCUGGGAUGUUAGGACUGAGAGAUCCUCUGGCUGAGAACAAGCUACACCUCAUCAGUGCUGGACAUCAACCACAAACUGUUUCCAGACACGAGAGAAGAAGAACACGAUGGGGAGAUGAAACCAGUUUAGAUGUGAUGAUGGGAAUCAUUAUUUUCUGGAACAGUAUCUCAUGUCUUAUAUGUAUCACAUGAUCUGUAUCACAGUUGACUGGAUGGGACUGUGUGACUUUUAAGGACAUUUCAUCACUCAUCUGUGUGAACUGAUUUAUAUAUGAGGUUAAUGUAUCUUUGAUGAUAAUUAUUUUCAUUGAAUCUUAUUUGUCUUGAUGCUACUUUAUCAACUUUAUAGUCUAUGCUUCAAUAAAAUGAAAAUGGUGAA